GUUCUUAUAGCUUAGUGGUAAAGCGCCAAAUUGAAGCUUUGGUUACAUUGGUUCGAUUCCUUUUAAGGACA
rnacentral:tRNA from 1 species